UGUAAAGAUUAAAUUUGAGACAAGAGUAUUUACCGUAAGUGUAAGUUUACCUAGUUGCUUAUUUGAAACUGACAAACCGGUCUUUUGUUUUGUAUAUUUUUACCAUGAGAACACAAAUAGAGAGGAAUAUCCCAGCAUGAAGUGUUUGAAAGUGUGGUGGUUUUAUACUUGCAGUGUGAAUUAGUCUCGUAUCCGGCCUGGAGACCCAGACAGUUCCUGUUGUGAUGGCCACUUCUACAAUCCCAGCAGUGCCAGGGCAAACAUCAGUGCAGAGAUCUGCAGAAUCAUGAGCAGCUGUUUCUUCAUUCAGUGGCCUUGAGAUAUUGAACCUGGAUGUUAUUGAUUCGAGCUUAUUCGGAUCUGUUUCUGUGUGAUUGGACAUGCAUGGGAGAGAUCUUCACAUACACAAUGAAGAGGAGAAGUAGAACGAGGUGUCUUUAACUCGUAGGUGCUUAUUAAAGGAAAUGGACAGCUUUCUCUGCUUUCAAUGCCUUUCUCACUUCUCGUUCACUCUUUUGUUACUUCAAGUAAGUAUUAGGUCAUUGACGCUCAUGGGAUCAUGUAUCUAGAGCAACCCCAAUCUUCCUAUUUUUUGUUCUGCCUACUUUCUGACUGACAUGCAAUCACUUAAUCUGGACUCGACUAAAAGGAAAUAAUCUUUUUCGUCUGUAUCCAAUAGCACUCUGGUUAACAAACACUCUCAUCUAUUCCCUUCAAUGUCUAUUUUUAUCUCCAGUUCUUAUUAUUUGAAUAGACCACCUUUUAUAAUGAUUAAAAGACAAGUCCCAAGUUCCACUUUUUAAGAAUUAAAGGCCACACAGUGAGCGAUAUAUUAAAGCUACAACCUCUUUGUUUUCUUCUGUAAGCUCUCACAUCAGGCCUACUCUGGUUAACUUGCAUUCAUUAAUAUUGCAACUCUUGAAAAAGAAAUAGGCUAAAAUGUUUUGUGCAGUUUCUUAAUCUUUAAAUAUUAAUGGCUGCCGUUAGUUUCCUGGUAGCGGUCCACUGCUGUCUGACUUGGUUGUUUUGGCUCUGGGGAACUCUUUGGUAUAAUUAAUUAGCUUAUCUAAAAUGUCUCCCAUUACCCAACAGUCGAGAGUGAAAAGCUCGGAAAAAAGAUCUCAGAUCUUUAAUGCUCAGGAUGACAAAGCUUGAUAUCUGGCAAAUUACAACCAGGCAACAAAUCUCACUUACCAUAAAUAAUGCAUAUUCCCUUUGGGCUAUACUAAUAUGUCACCUUAAUAUGACUUAAAAUUAGAGUGUCUCCCCUGAGCCAAGUGUGUACUAAAAAUCCCAUAAUUCAGUGUAGUUAUAUCCUGGGAUAUUAAUUCGUAUGUAUUAGAAUUAAACAAAUGUGGUGGGGCUGAAAUGGUUAAUUAAUUAAUUGAUUGGUGAUUUGGCGAGAAGAUGCAAAGAAACUAAAAGGAAAAUCUACAAAUGUACAAUGGACAUGUUUUCCAUUCUGAGAACGAGAUGAUAAAUUGCCUGAAAAUGUCCUUAUUUUUUUGUAUUAGAGUACAAAAUGUCUCUAAAAUACAGUGUCUGUGUACUAUUGUUAAAACAAUGCACAUAAGUUCCAUGCAACACAAAUUACACUAAGAUGAAUUACAUAUAAAUGCAGAUAACAUUUACUUUUGCCUUUUUUAAUCCCUUUUCUAUCCAUUGUUUUUGUCAGAACAAAUCAAUGUUUCCAAAAACUGCAAAAAUACAUCAAGAUCUGUUAUCUUUUUGGAAUUCACUACAAAAUCUGAUUUCCCCAUUUAUUCAUUGCAAUGCACUGCUGCCCCCUUCUGGAUGUAAGAAAAAUGUAUAGAUUUUGUAGUAGAGAAAAAAAGCACAAUUAUGGUAUUUUUUUUCCACAGUAACAUACACAAGAAGAAAGUCAUUACACAUUCAGACAAAUACAUUUUAAAUCAAUAUUUUGCAAUAUAUUUUAAAAGUUUAUAAUCAUGAUAACCUGUCAAUUUAUUGUAAUGUACUGUUGUUUUUGAGUCUGUGGUGCAGUUCAUGUAAGGUCAGAUGCUUUAAUUCACUCAAUAAUGCUAUUAAUGCUUAGAUGUGUUAUCACAUGCUAUGUUUUUAACUUGUGUUUUUGACUUUUUGUUCUAUAUAUAUUUGAGAGACACGUUAAAGAUUAACCUCCUCUGCUUUUGCAAUGCAUAAUAAAGCUUUUUCUGAUUCUGAUAUGUUCAUUAUGUUGAUUUGGUUAGUUGAAAAAUGAGUGCAGAGACA